UGGGGAAUUUUGGACAAUGGGCGAAAGCCUGAUCCAGCAAUGCCGCGUGUGUGAAGAAGGCCUUCGGGUUGUAAAGCACUUUUGUCCGGAAAGAAAUCCUCUGGGUUAAUACCUCGGGGGGAUGACGGUACCGGAAGAAUAAGCACCGGCUAACUACGUGCCAGCAGCCGCGGUAAUACGUAGGGUGCAAGCGUUAAUCGGAAUUACUGGGCGUAAAGCGUGCGCAGGCGGUUUUGUAAGACGGAUGUGAAAUCCCCGGGCUUAACCUGGGAACUGCAUUCGUGACUGCAAGGCUAGAGUAUGGCAGAGGGGGGUAGAAUUCCACGUGUAGCAGUGAAAUGCGUAGAGAUGUGGAGGAAUACCGAUGGCGAAGGCAGCCCCCUGGGCCAAUACUGACGCUCAUGCACGAAAGCGUGGGGAGCAAACAGGAUUAGAUACCCUGGUAGUCCACGCCCUAAACGAUGUCAACUAGUUGUUGGGGAUUCAUUUCCUUAGUAACGUAGCUAACGCGUGAAGUUGACCGCCUGGGGAGUACGGUCGCAAGAUUAAAACUCAAAUGGAAUUGACGGGGUCAUAGCUGUUUCCU
rnacentral:rRNA from 1 species